rnacentral:lncRNA from 1 species
GAAAUGAUCCUUUCCAGGUAACAGCCGAGCAUAGGGGACUGCGGGACAUCUCCGCCUCUUCCUUGGCUCUGGGCCUUCGAUGUAAGGCGUUAGAGGACAAUCUUUGUUGGCUGGAUUUCUGUUCUUCCCCUAGAGAUAUCUGGUUCUUUGGAGGCCACUUGGGCAAUUGGGUUAACAAUCACUUACCUGAUACCUGCUCCCAAAACGAAUCCUAUUGAUGAAGGAUCUUCUUUCUGAGCAGUAAACCUGUGUUUAAUUAACCUUAUGCAAAUGAGCUUAAUUGCUUAUCAGUGGCUGUUGUCCAGAAGCACCUAGGGAUUCCUUCCCUCAGACAUUUUCAGCACCUAGAUGAACCGCAAAGUUGGAAGCCUUUCAUCUACACAUGUGUUGUGUGCCUGUGGAGCCCUGGGCCCUGUGUUGAAGAUUGCAAGGAAAAGCAAGGUGUGACCCCUGCUGUGGACUUACUUUCAGUCUUAGGGCAACAGACACUUACAACCAAGAAUAACAAAGGGAGCCGUCGGAACAUCCUGGGACUCCAAGGCUCCGACCCCCAGCGCAAAGGACUCUAGGGACUGGCUUCCUGGCUGUACCGCGCAGCGGGACUCCUCGUCUGCACAGCUUCGGGGAGGCCCAGAGCACGCCCCUACUAGCCGGCUCCGUCCAAGGCCCACCAAGACAACCCGCCACGAAACUUCCCGGCCCCCUCAGCCCAGGGCUCCCGGUCCCGAGCUGCUGGCCGGUGGCGCGGGGCCUGCCGCCCGCCUUCUACGAGCCGCAUGGACGGAGGCCUGCGUGUUAUUUCAUAGAGGCCGAAACGGAGACCCAGGAAAGAUAAAAGAAGGGCUCAACCCGGGACCCCCACUAGCCAGCCGAGGGCGAGAAAUGAAAGCCAAGGCUGAAUGAUUCCCUGUGCCGUGAGCUCUCUCCCACUCCAUCCACACUCUCCUCCCUGCAAAGAGUGUUCUGCAAUUUGCAGCGUCGUCUGUAGCCCAAGCAGGAGGUGCGCUGUGGAAACUGAGGCCGCUGGGAGGCCUUGCCAACCGUGACCCGGACGUCGGACGCCCCAGCCGAGGCCCGGCGAGUCCUUAGCCCCUCUCGAACUAAAAUGGACCGAACAGAAAAUGCGGACGGGGCUCCCUCCUUUCGGGUAGCGGCGGGGCAGACGGGAGGCCGUCUGUGACCGAGCUCUCCAAGUCCCGCCUUCCUUUCCAAGCCUGCCCGGCGGAGACCACCUUACUCCCUGAGACCUCCGCCCUGCCGCAGCGCUCCCAGGCCAGGCCAGGCCGGCGGUGCCCGCGCCAUCUAAAGGGACAAUUCUGGUUGAACCUGGGAUUCCCGGCAGGGCGCCCUGUCUGUGAGCGCCCCGGAGGUAACUUCCCCGGUGUGGCAGGCGUGGAAAUGGGCAUGGAUGAACCCUCGGCGCCUUCGAGCUCUUGAGGAAAGAGCCCGGGACCGCUGCGCUAAGGACCGUGACGUAAUGCCCCUCCUCCAUUCCGGGCCCAAGGGAGGGUCCUAAACGCGGAGAGGGAGUGCCCUGUGGGGGAAAACUGAGUGUGUCUGGAGGGCACAGUGGAGAGGUUGAGUGCUCGCUGCUGCCCACUUGAGCAGGCCCGAUUCUGACCCUGGGAGCCCCAGAACCCGCGGGGCGGCUCCCACCCCCACCUGUUGCACGGUGUUCCGCCGCCCCGCUCCGCCGGUGCACUCCCACCUCCGUAGCCCCAGAAGUGACAUCUUUUAUUAUUAUUAUUAUUAUUAUUAAAAACGAAAGUCACGGGUACAGGGUGGUCUCCCCAAACAGGCUCCAGGUGGUUGCCAUCUCGUGAGUCAGUUGUCGCCCUUUUAAAGUGCUGUUACAUCAAGAGGUUACAACAAAAAAUAGCCAAAGCAAAAUCCAAAGGGGAAUGCAAAACGGGACUGGAAGUGGGUCCAGGAGAAGGAAGCAAAAAUAACUUACAGCAUAAAUAAAUUAAAGUGAACCUAAUACUGAAAAAAAAAAAAAAAAAAAA